rnacentral:pre_miRNA from 1 species
UGAUGAUGAUGAUGAUGAUGAUGAUGAUGAUGAUGAUGAUGAUGAUAAUGAUAAUGAUGAUCAUCAUCAUGAUCAUAAUCAUAAUGAUCAUGAUGA